rnacentral:rRNA from 1 species
GACGUAGGUGGCAAGCGUUGUCCGGAAUUAUUGGGCGUAAAGCGCGCGCAGGCGGUCCUUUAAGUCUGAUGUGAAAGCCCACGGCUCAACCGUGGAGGGUCAUUGGAAACUGGGGGGACUUGAGUGCAGAAGAGGAAAGCGGAAUUCCGACGUGUAGCGGUGAAAUGCGUAGAGAUGUGGAGGAACACCAGUGGCGAAGGCGGCUCUCUGGGACGGUACUGACGCUGAGACGCGAAAGCGUGGGGAGCGAACAGG